CCCGGGCGCCCCCCCGCGGCAGGCAGGGCGGCUUAGAGGGCGCAGUACUCGCCGGGGCUCUGGUGGAUGAGGAUCAGCUCCCCGCCGUUCACCUGGAUGUCCUCGCAGGAGCUGCUGUGCGUGGUCACGUUCAGGAUCCUCUGGAUUCCCGACAGAGGACAGAUGUGCUGUGAAAGCUGAGACCCAGAAACGCGUCUUCACGUGGCCCUCGGUGCUGGCGUCCUCCUGCAGACGCUCAGAGGGAACCGGGGUCCCCGCUGUGUCUGCUGGGACCCGAUGCUGCGGAUACGCAAGUCGCCAAGGAAAGGGAGUGUGUGCCGGGGUCUCACUGGGUGACACGGCCGUGAGUGUCUGCAGGCACACAGAGACGCGUCCCCUCGAGUCUGUCUGUACCGAGGGAGCUGCUGAGAGUGCGGAACCUGCUGCCUUGCAGAUGACGGGGAGACGAAAGCUCCAGCACCGAGCCUGGCAAAACAACGCAUGGGAGUCCAGCGCUCGGCCAACAGGGCUGUGCCCUUCCCUUGCUUUCUACGGGAUAUUCCAUUAGAUCCUCGGAGAGCUCCUUAAGCGGAUACUCUCCCAGGGAUGGACCAACCAAACAGGUGCAUCUAAGAGUUCUGAAGGAAGGGGAGCCUGGUGGGACGCUUAGAGAAAAUGGACCAGCAGCCCGGGGCGGACAGCAGAAACUGCCCGCCUGGGCGGGACCUCCCGGUGGAGCUGGGGCUGAAACCCCACAGAUCGCAGCUACACUGAACUGGUUCACGGGGAAUGCGCGGUGCAGGUAGAGUCUUACGACUCCGAGGUAUCCCCCUUUCUGCAGUACCUUCCUCACCCGAGUGUGUAUUCCACAGAGGGCCCACUCUCCCUGAGCCCCCAGAAAUAGAAAGAAAUCACGGGGGGAGAGGAUAACGGGAAGUAGGGGUCAGCGGGCAUCAGGACUUCAUUGACACCAGUGACAGCAGUGAGAGACAGAGCCACAGGCCCAAACACAUUCAAGAGAACUGAAACGAUCCCUGCGUGGUGAACUACAGGGACUUUGUAGUGUGCCUGUCAAAGUGACAGGUGAAGCAGGGGUCGGGAUGGGGACACUGGAGGAGAGAUUGGUGUUGAAUUAUUGUAUGCCUAAAACACAACUGUCGGUAGCACUGCACUGGAGCACUGUCGUCCCGUUGCUCAUCGAUUUGCUCGAGCAGGCACCAGUAACGUCUCCAUUGUGAGACUUGUUGUAACUGUUUUUGGCAUCUCGAAUACGCCACGGGGAGCUUGCCAGGCUCUGCCGUGCAGGCGGGAUACUCUCGGUAGCUUGCCGGGCUCUCCGAGAGGGACAG